GACGAACGCUGGCGGCGUGCUUAACACAUGCAAGUCGAACGGAAAGGCCUCGUUCUUGUGGUACGCUAGUGGCGAAAGGGUGAGUAACACGUGAGUGACCUGCCCUUUUCUUUUUGGUAACUUCUGAAGACUGUGGCGAAUAUCCGGGAUGAGCUCCUGCGCCGUGUGGUGGGUGUGAGAGUUUCGGCGGUUGGGGGUGGAGUCGCGGGUUAUCAGCUUGUUGGUGGGGGAGUGGCUUACCAAGGCUUUGACGGGUAGCCGGGCUGGGAGGGUGAACGGGCCAAUUGGGACUGAGAUAAGGCCCAGACUCCUAAGGGAGGGAGCAGGGGGGAAUAUUGGCAAAUGGGGGGAAGCCCGAUGGCGGAAAGGCGGGGGCGGGAUGACGGGCUUUCGGUUGUAAAACGGCUUCGGUCAUGAAGAAGCUUUGUGUGACGGUAGUGGGUAAAGAAGCACCGGCUAACUACGUG
rnacentral:rRNA from 1 species